rnacentral:lncRNA from 1 species
GCUUUAUCCUGUUGAUGCAGUUUCUAAUAAUGUUGGUAGAUCACUAACCCCAGCGUGGACAACACAUGUUGUUUUUUCAUGUUUUCUACAAAUAAUGCAUUGACAGACAAGCCAUGGGUAAUCUUCAGGUUAAUUGCAGCAACUUGGGACUUGGGAGAAGUCCUGUGAAAAGACACAGGGCACAUGACCAGAUUUGUAUUUUUUUGAAUGUUUUAUUCAAGUAGUAGUUAGUUGGAACCCUAACUCAAACUGUCAAACACAGACAACACAUUGCUGCUGCCUUACGGCCACAGGCAGGAAAAUGAUUCUUUUCUUCAGAAAAUUGUAAGUUGUAUUUGUAGUCUUAAACCCCCCAUACUUUUUGUUACUAUUAUAGAUUUUUAUGUUGAAAAAGUUACGGAAAAUGAUCGGAAAUAGCCGAGUUAAUAAUUUGUGUGUUGUCUCAUAGGGAAAACAGCUUUGAUUGAUUUUCUUUGAUUUCCGAAAGCUAUUUGCCUAUUUGAGUAAUCUGGUAUUCAUCCUCACUUGAUUCAUUUCGUGCCAGUAGUGAAAGGCGUGAAGAAUUCAAGUUUAGCUGCUGCGUGCUGUUAGCAAGCAAGCAAUCCAAUUGAUGUCCACCAGGUGGCGCGAAUGUCUUCAAGGCCCAAAUUCGGCCAUUUUGUUCCUUGACGCAGCAGAAGUGAGAUGCCGGUCGUGACGUUUACCAAAAUGAAAAGGUGAUUGAUCUUACCAUUUUGCCGUCUGAAUUGAAAAUGCCUGUACAUUUACCGAAUUGUCGUGCCUCGUGU